GGGUUCGAUUCUGGCUCAGGAUGAACGCUGGCGGCGUGCUUAACACAUGCAAGUCGAACGAAGCGAGAAGAAAGAAGUUUUUCGAAAUGGAUUUUUUCUUUGCUUAGUGGCGGACGGGUGCGUAACACGUAGGUAACCUGCCCUGUGCUUGGGAAUAACUCCGGGAAACCGGUGCUAAUGCCGAAUAAUAUCGCCUGUCGGCAUCGAGAGGCGAUCAAAGAAUUUCGGCACAGGAUGGGCCUGCGCCGGAUUAGCUGGUUGGUGAGGUAACGGCUCACCAAGGCGACGAUCCGUAGCCGACCUGAGAGGGUGAUCGGCCACACUGGAACUGAGACACGGUCCAGACUCCUACGGGAGGCAGCAGUGGGGAAUAUUGCACAAUGGGGGAAACCCUGAUGCAGCAACGCCGCGUGAGCGAUGAAGGCUUUCGAGUCGUAAAGCUCUGUCCUAUGGGAAGA
rnacentral:rRNA from 1 species